rnacentral:rRNA from 1 species
GACGAAGGAUGCAAGCGUUAUCCGGAUUCAUUGGGUUUAAAGGGUGCGUAGGCGGACUUGUAAGUCAGUGGUGAAAUCUCUUUGCUUAACAAAGAAACUGCCAUUGAUACUGCUAGUCUAGAGUAUAGAUGACGUUGGCGGAAUAUGACAUGUAGUGGUGAAAUACUUAGAUAUGUCAUAGAACACCGAUUGCGAAGGCAGCUAACGAAACUAUAACUGACGCUGAGGCACGAAAGCGUGGGGAGCAAACAGG